GAUGAACGCUGGCGGCGUGCCUAAUACAUGCAAGUCGAGCGAACAGAUGAGAAGCUUGCUUCUCUGAUGUUAGCGGCGGACGGGUGAGUAACACGUGGGUAACCUACCUAUAAGACUGGGAUAACUCCGGGAAACAGGGGCUAAUACCGGCUAAUAUUUUGAACCGCAUGGUUCAAUAGUGAAAGACGGUUUCGGCUGUCACUUAUAGAUGGACCCGCGCCGUAUUAGCUAGUUGGUAAGGUAACGGCUUACCAAGGCGACGAUACGUAGCCGACCUGAGAGGGUGAGCGGCCACACUGGAACUGAGACACGGUCCAGACUCCUACGGGAGGCAGCAGUAGGGAAUCUUCCGCAAUGGGCGAAAGCCUGACGGAGCAACGCCGCGUGAGUGAUGAAGGUCUUCGGAUCGUAAAACUCUGUUGUUAGGGAAGAACAAAUUUGUUAGUAACUGAACAAGUCUUGACGUUACCUAACCAGAAAGCCACGGCUAACUACGUGCCAGCAGCCGCAGUAA
rnacentral:rRNA from 1 species